CUCCGUUCCAAAACGUUUUUCAAGACACAGGAACCGUCCGGUUGAAAUAUUACUGAAUCUUCACGUUCUAAAGGCCCUAAAGAUUGAUGUUUGACAACGUUUGACAUGUUUGAACGAACGAAAAUACACGUUUUUUUUACUUUUCGUCGUGACAUUGUCCGCACGCUUCCUACAUUUGGAGUAGCUGAACUGAACGCACAAACAACAAGGAGUUAUUUGGACAUAAAUUAUGAACUUUAUCGAACAAAACAACAUUUGUUGUGGACCUGGGAUUCCUGGAUGUGCCUUCUGAUGAAGAUCAUCAAAGAUGAUGAGCGAUCGACAAAGGCAACCUGUAAUCUGCUGGCAUCACGGCACAACAUAAACAUCGCUCUAAUUACAGUUAGAAGACAGUUGAAGAAACUUCCGUGGACUUAUGGAAAGGCUCGGCCCAGGCAUGGAUCAAAGCUGGCGAGACAUACAAUAAUAUCAUCUUCACAAACGAAUCAACUGUGGCCCUUGAGCAAGUUGCUCAAAAUUGCUACAGAAAAUUAGGAAGAAAAUCUAGCAAGCCAAAGUCCCAAGCAUCCACUCAAACUCCAUGUGUGGGGGGCAAUUUCUCGCCAGGGACCAGGCCCAUAUUUGAUUUUUGAUGGUAC
rnacentral:lncRNA from 1 species